rnacentral:rRNA from 1 species
AGUGAACGCUGGCGGUAGGCCUAACACAUGCAAGUCGAACGGCAGCACAGUAAGAGCUUGCUCUUACGGGUGGCGAGUGGCGGACGGGUGAGGAAUACAUCGGAAUCUACUUUUUCGUGGGGGAUAACGUAGGGAAACUUACGCUAAUACCGCAUACGACCUACGGGUGAAAGCAGGGGAUCUUCGGACCUUGCGCGAUUGAAUGAGCCGAUGUCGGAUUAGCUAGUUGGCGGGGUAAAGGCCCACCAAGGCGACGAUCCGUAGCUGGUCUGAGAGGAUGAUCAGCCACACUGUAACUGAGACACGGUCCAGACUGCUACGGGAGGCAGCAGUGGGGAAUAUUGGACAAUGGGCGCAAGCCUGAUCCAGCCAUACCGCGUGGGUGAAGAAGGCCUUCGGGUUGUAAAGCCCUUUUGUUGGGAAAGAAAAGCAGCAGGUUAAUACCCCGCUGUUCUGACGGUACCCAAAGAAUAAGCACCGGCUAACUUCGUG